GAAGACUAGCGAUGAUGCUUGCGACGUCGUUUGGUGUGGGAGUGAGACUUGGUUUUUUUUCGGUUCUUAACGGAGUCCUUGUCGCGGUCUCGGCGAUUACGGUGGUGACGCCUGCGACGGUGAGAGGAAGAAUCGGAAGAGAGAGAGGAAGAAUCAGAUUAGGGUUUUCGUUUUGUGAAAUGAAAUGGAGGGAGAGUGAAAAAUGACGAGGGAAAAGGAAAGAGGGAAAUAAGCUGAUUUUUGGUACGAAAUAGAAAAUUCCAUAGAGUCC
rnacentral:lncRNA from 1 species